GUGAACUGGCCCCCUGUUUAAAAAGUUUGAGGAGCCCUGGUGUGGAGUCUCAGUCUUCCAGAUGGGAAGGCUGUGGAGGCUGCUGCGGGGCAGCGCGGACAGACUUGGCAUCACUGAACCGAACACGCAAACACGGUUAAGAUGGCAAAUCUUAUGUUAAGUGUUUUUUAACCACAAUUAAAAAAAUUGUAGAGGACAUCCACACAGAGAGUGAACACAGUAUUGAUUUUUGUAGUUUUAACCUCCCUAGUUGAUUAAAAUUAAAAUUAAAAUGUUCACACUAUGGGAAAAGGCAAACAUUAGAAAGGAAAGGACUUUGUUUUUAUUGAAUUUUAGGCAACUCUGUACAUUACUGGUAAGUAGCAGUUAGGUGACCAUCUACUCAAUCUAUGGAGAUACAUAUAUAUGUAUAAAAUAUGAGCUCGCACAUGUAUGGAAUUUGAAUAUACUUCACAUUUCACAAAAGUCAUUGCAUGGCUUCUUGGUGCAAAAGAAAACAAUCUCAAAGUUAUUAAUUUUCUAGCCAUUUUAAAAGAUCACUAGUAAAGGAAGACAUUCUUGGGUAUGAAUCUAAAAGAAUGAAAGCAGCGUCCUAAAGAGAUAGCUGUACGCUCAGUGUUCACAGCAGGAUCAUUCGCAGUGGCCAGAGGCGGACGCAGCACUAGUGCUCGCCGACAGACGGGUAAAUGAAACGUGCUGUGUCCACACACACAGGGAAUAAUAUUCAGCAAAGGAAGGGCAUUCUGACACCUGCCAGGACACAGAUAAACCUUGAAGACACUGUGCUAAGUGAAAUAAGCCAGACACAAAAGGACAAAUGCUGUGUGAUCCCACCUCUGCGAGACACAGAAACAGCAAGUAGAGGUGUGGCUGCCGGGGCUGCUGGGGUCGGGUGGGUGGGGGUUAUUGUGUAAAGGGCACAGAGUUUCGGUCUGGGCAGCGAAAAGAGUUCUGGAGACGGAGGGUGGGGACGGUGGCACGACCAUGGGAAUGCACUUUAUGCCACUGAACUGUACAUGUAUGAAUGGUUAACUUUUCUGUUAUGCGCAUUUUACCACAGUUAAAAAUAACAAUAAAAAUACUGUUAAAAAGAUGACUAUAACUUUGCUGUGGGGGUCGCUGUGGCGCUGCACGUCCAAACCAUCGGGGUCUGAAUAUGCCUGAAAUGCGCAAUCCCGUCUUGCUCCCACUCGCUGCCUUCUGCCCGAGGUCCUCUUGUCUGAGGGUCCGCAGGCGCCGGAAACACGCAGGAGCUGCCCUGCCGUUUGGUGCCCUUCCCACAUCCGGGCAUUUGCGGUUUCCCCGAGCGCCUCUGUGUGUGUGAGGAAGAUUUUCCAACAUCAAAGGUGCUUUUGUCUUUUCAUCAUUGAAGAAAGCCUUUGAUUCAGCCAUAAUCACCUCUGAGUGAGGAAAGUUCUCCAAAUGUAUCUUUUGUAAAAACUGGCCAUUCCCAAGCAGGACGCCACAUAUUGAUUCAAGAUGUCCGUUUGAUGUUGCGCCCGCAGCCCCGCCAGUGCGGACGUGGGCACGGGGCGCUGGCCUUGGCCCUCCCGGUGAGUGUCACCCGCCCGCAGCCGGCGGACAGAUGCUGGUGUGCCGGGAAAGCCGUCCCACGGGCACGCGAGCUCCCUCCCGCGGCCGAGGUCCACGCGCCGCUCCGUGCACCGUCCUGCCCAGGAAGGGCAGUGUGGCCGUUAAGACCGGCAAAGCUGUGAUGGCUGGAGACGCACUUUACUCCGUAAUUCAAGAAAAGCCGUGUUUCCCUGAUCAGCAUUAGCCUGUAGGCCUUUAGAUGAAUUAAAGGCAGGAUAUGAUGAGAUUAAUCCUUGUUAGAAAGCAAUGAGAAGUGGAUUCGUUAAUCCAGAGAAGAGGUGGCGCUCCACACAGCGCGACACCAGGCUCCUGCUGCCUUGAGUCCCUGGCCGGCUAAAACCUCAGCUGCUGCAUUAACUCUUGAAAGUAGAGACGUUGCUGAGUUAAGGUGCUCUGUCUCUGUAUUUAAAUGUCUCUAUGUGUGGCUGUUGGGAUUCACCUCAAUUUUUGACCUUUAGCCUGUGCUGACAGCAUCACCAUCAUUUGAAUGUUUGGAAGCUCUGUGGGGACUCAGGUUUUUCUUCCUCCUGCUGAAAGAGCUCGGCCGGCACCAUCCUAACUAACUCAGAGGCCUGGGCGCAUCGUGAGUGAGACCCGACCCGGGAGAGCAGAGCAGCCACGGCCUUGGAGGAUCUGAGUGCUGAGCCCGAGGCGCUGGGUUCUGCUGUCCCAACUCUCUUCUCUAAAACACGUGGUUGUUAGUAGGAAAGUGCUGAGAGACCAUCCACACGGGAGGCGUGUGAUGUGCUGCGACAUCCCUCAGCUAUCGCUCCUGGGCUCAGUCCACGACAGCCAGUAGCUUCUCCUCCUUUCUCUUCCUUUGACGCGGGAAUCACCAGCUGCGCAUUCCCCUUGGACACGGAAAUCUGCACAGGGCUUUUCCUUCCUAAGUGGUCCUUUUGAUCCUGCCUCGAACCUCGUCACCCGCAGUGUGACUUGGAUCUCACCUUCCUCGCCAGCAACUCUUGGACUCGUCUCUGUCCACUCCGGGCCUUUCUUCCCACACAGCAGUCGUCGUGGAGUCUGCUCGUUACCAGUGCAGACACUUGGCAGAAAUUUAUCUCAGACUCUUUCCUUUCUUUAUGGAAGUUCUUAUCCAUUUUCUAAUCAUGUCCUGACUGCAAAUGUAAUUUUUCUUUUAUGGCCCUCUCCAAACUUCAAACAGUUUAGACAGAACUCAGCCAGAUGACCCAUGACUCUGGAAUGGGAGAGGAUUGGAUACUCAACUCCCCUGGGCUUACACUCGGUCCCAAAUCCUUGUGGACAUUCACAUGGGACACUCUGACCUUAGACCUCGUUGUUUCUCUGCCUAUCCCUCCUUUUGACAUGCUUGCCACUGAGACCUAAUUAAGCCUCACAACUAAGAACUGUGUCUUCCACUGGAGGGGUGACAGGUGACUUGGGUGAGCAGGAGUAGGAGGAGAAGUAAAGAAGGACAAUUA